AGGUGGGGUGAGGCCAUGCCCUGGGCCUGAAGCCCACCCAGGCCGUCUUCUCCCACCUAGCAUCAUCCCACUUCACAGGGCCUCCCCCCCACCCAUAGAAGGCCAUCCCCGCCCCCUCCCCCAUCGUCACCGCCCUCUAUUUUUCCGUGACCGACGGAGCCCCGCCCUUCAGACUUAGGAGUCCCUGCUGAGGAAGAAUUCAGCGUCCAUGAAGGUGUCAGCUGGCCUCUAUUGCUGUUUGCCAUGGUGACUGUUCUGUUUCCGAGGAAACCCUGAAUCCUGCCGGCCCUCAAGCUAGCUCCUUAUCAGAACUGCAUCAUGUGACCUCUCAGCCAGGAAGAAACAUGGGCUUCUUCCCCCACUUUGAAAAGCCAGGAGGGCAUAGUCCUAACUCCCUUAGGGGCUACAAAACAACAGGAGAUAUGCACACAUAUCCACGUAUACAUAUCCAUGCACAGAGAGAGACAAGAGUCAUAC